ACUGGACGGCUAGAGUGAGGUAGAGGGUGGUGGAAUUCCCGGUGUAGCGGUGAAACGCGUAGAGAUCGGGAGGAACAUCUGUGGCGAAGGCGGCCACCUGGACCAUCACUGACGCUGAGGCACGAAAGCGUGGGGAGCAAGCAGGAUUAGAUACCCUGGUAGUCCACGCCCUAAACGAUGCGAACUGGAUGUUGGCCACACUUAGGUGGUCAGUGUCGAAGCUAACGCGUUAAGUUCGCCGCCUGGGGAGUACGGUCGCAAGACUGAAACUCAAAGGAAUUGACGGGGGCCCGCACAAGCGGUGGAGUAUGUGGUUUAAUUCGAUGCAACGCGCAGAACCUUACCUGGCCUCGACAUGUCGCGAAUCCUGCAGAGAUGCGGGAGUGCCUUCGGGAAUGCGAACACAGGUGCUGCAUGGCUGUCGUCAGCACGUGUCGUGAGAUGUUGGGUUAAGUCCCGCAACGAGCGCAACCCUUGUCCUUAGUUGCCAGCACGUAAAGGUGGGAACUCUAGGGAGACUGCCGGUGACAAACCGGAGGAAGGUGGGGAUGACGUCAAGUCAUCAUGGCCCUUACGGCCAGGGCUACACACGUACUACAAUGGUAGGGACAGAGGGUUGCCAAGCCGCGAGGCGGAGCCAAUCCCCAAAACCCUAUCUCAGUCCGGAUCGCAGUCUGCAACUCGACUGCGUGAAGUCGGAAUCGCUAGUAAUCGCGGAUCAGCAAUGCCGCGGUGAAUACGUUCCCGGGCCUUGUACACGCCGCCCGUCACACCAUGGGAGUGGGUUGCUCCAGAAGUAGCUAGUCUAACCGCAAGGGGGACGGUUACCACGGAGUGAUUCAUGACUGGGGUGAAGUCGUAACAAGGUAACC
rnacentral:rRNA from 1 species